rnacentral:rRNA from 1 species
UAGCGGGGCAGGGCAGUGUUCGUUGGAAUUACAUGGGCGUAAAGGGCUCGUAGGCGGCCAACUAAGUCAAUCACGUGAAAUCCCGUCGGCUUAACCGGGGAACUGCGUCUGAUACUGGAUGGGCUUGAGUUUGGGAGAGGGAUGCGGAAUUCCAGGUGUAGCGGUGAAAUGCGUAGAUAUCUGGAGGAACACCGGUGGCGAAGGCGGCAUCCUGGACCAACACUGACGCUGACGUGCGCGAAAGCCAGGGGAGCGAACCGGG